rnacentral:rRNA from 1 species
GAUGAACGCUAGCGGCAGGCCUAACACAUGCAAGUCGAGGGAGAAGCCCUUCGGGGCAGAAACCGGCGCACGGGUGCGUAACGCGUAUGCAACCUACCUUUCACAGGGGGAUAGCCCGAAGAAAUUUGGAUUAAUACCCCAUAAUAUUAUUGGAUGGCAUCAUUUGAUAAUUAAAAUUACGAUGGUGAAAGAUGGGCAUGCGUCCUAUUAGCUAGUUGGAGUGGUAACGGCACCCCAAGGCUACGAUAGGUAGGGGUCCUGAGAGGGAGAUCCCCCACACUGGUACUGAGACAGGGACCAGACUCCUACGGGAGGCAGCAGUGAGGAAUAUUGGUCAAUGGUCGGAAGACUGAACCAGCCAUGCCGCGUGCAGGAAGAAUGCCUUAUGGGUUGUAAACUGCUUUUAUAUGGGAAGAAUAAGGAGUACGUGUACCUUUGAUGGACGGUACC